GGGCUCAUAGCUCAACGGAUAGAGCACAGGGUUGCGGACCCUGGUGUGAGGGUUCGAUUCCCUCUGAGCCCU
rnacentral:tRNA from 5 species